CCUCAUUUGAAAUCUUCUUAACUUAUAUCUCUGAAAGUACCCAAAGUAUCAUUGCAGGUAAUGCUGAGAGGAACCUGACUUUAUUCCACAAUAUUUGUUCUUUGAAACAACCCCAAAACUUUGAAAUGUUUUCACUGAAAAAUAGGAGGCACUCAGAGCAAAUGCUAAAGGCUGAAGUCUCAGGAAUGGAGAAGAAACAGAUAAAGGACACAUGAAACGUCUCUUCCACUCUCACAAGCAACAUGAACAUGUAUAAAGCAACAGGGCCC
rnacentral:lncRNA from 1 species